rnacentral:rRNA from 1 species
UCCGGUGGCAAUGGCGAGGGGGAAACACCCGUUCCCAUUCCGAACACGGAAGUUAAGCCCCUCUGCGCUGAUGGUACUGCCCUGGCAACGGGGUGGGAGAGUAGGACGUCACCGGGA